rnacentral:misc_RNA from 1 species
ACGAAUAAACUUGAACAGGCUGUUGCUAGCUCCCCCUGGGGGGCAUGUGCACGCUUGUCAUCUUUGUUUCUCCAACUGUGCACACAUUGUAGACCUUUCAGGUCUAUGUUGCUUCAUUUACCCCAAUGUAUGUUAAUAGAAUGUUGUGCCUAUAUAAUAUAUA